rnacentral:rRNA from 1 species
GAUCCUGGAUCAGAUUGAACGCUGGCGGCAUGCCUUACACAUGCAAGUCGAACGGCAGCACGGGGGCAACCCUGGUGGCGAGUGGCGAACGGGUGAGUAAUAUAUCGGAACGUGCCCUAGAGUGGGGGAUAACUAGUCGAAAGAUUAGCUAAUACCGCAUACGAUCUAUGGAUGAAAGUGGGGGGAUCGCAAGACCUUCAUGCUCCAGGAGCGGCCGAUAUUCUGAUUAGCUAGUUGGUAGGGUAAAAGCCUACCAAGGCUACGAUCAGUAGCUGGUCUGAGAGGACGACCCAGCCACACUGGAACUGAGACACGGUCCAGACUCCUACGGGAGGCAGCAGUGGGGAAUUUUGGACAAUGGGCGCAAGCCUGAUCCAGCAAUGCCGCGUGAGUGAAGAAGGCCUUCGGGUUGUAAAGCUCUUCUGUCAGGGAAGAAACGGUUUGGUCUAAUACACUGAACUAAUGACGGUACCUGAAGAAUAAGCACCGGCUAACUACGUGCCAGCAGCCGCGGUAAUACGUAGGGUGCAAGCGUUAAUCGGAAUUACUGGGCGUAAAGCGUGCGCAGGCGGUUGUGCAAGACAGAUGUGAAAUCCCCGGGCUCAACCUGGGAAUUGCAUUUGUGACUGCACGGCUAGAGUGUGUCAGAGGGGGGUAGAAUUCCACGUGUAGCAGUGAAAUGCGUAGAUAUGUGGAGGAAUACCGAUGGCCGAAGGCAGCCCCCUGGGAUAACACUGACGCUCAUGCACGAAAGCGUGGGGAGCAAACAGGAUUAGAUACCCUGGUAGUCCACGCCCUAAACGAUGUCAACUAGUUGUCGGGUCUUAAUCGACUUGGUGACGCAGCUAACGCGUGAAGUUGACCGCCUGGGGAGUACGGUCGCAAGAUUAAAACUCA